UAAAUGGCCACCCAGACCCAACAACUAGUACUGCUCCUGCUCUGUAUCGUGGCUUCCCUGUUUAGCACAAGCACUAAUAAUAAAUUGAAUGCAUUACAGCUCCAGAAUAAUAUCAGACAAAACAAUUAUAAUAAUAAAAAUUGUUGUGUCUGAUAUUAUUCUGGAGCAUUCAAUUUAUAUGCAACGUUACAAUGUUCGAUAACAAACGUGUUUUAUACUUUAAUACGUGUUUUUUUGUACUGCAGGUAGCGAUGACAACCAUGUGUGGCUUCUCGGAGAGGACUCAGGUUACCAUGACAACUACGAUACUAUCUACUCGUCAUGUGACACAACUAGCAUCGUAGCACUGACAAAGGACAGGCUUGAUGUUGACUACUACACUGCUGUGGAACAGCUGAGAAUGAUUAGAUUCAAUUUUCCUCUAUAGCGGUUGAUUUUGUGGUCACCCGAAUGAUUAACGAGGAACAACAGGACGAAGUGUUUGUGGCCGUGCAUGAAGGUUAUAUGAGCGUCAACAGAUUUGGCAACUUCACGAUCUUCCCCAUCUCCAUGGGCAAAUCCUCCAGCCUCAUCAUGAUCUCCAACCUUGCUUGUACCACUCCCGUCCACACCGCCCACACCACACA